rnacentral:lncRNA from 1 species
UUCGAAUAUGCACCAGUGAUCCUCGUUAAUGCGGAACAUUUUCUGGAGAAAAAUGACGUAUGCACCAUCUUGCAUGCCUGUGAGCCUGCUGUUGGUAAAGAGGAAGUGUUACCAAAGAUGCAAACUUCAAUGCAUUCUGCCUCUUAAGGAACACAGGUUAUUGAGACUAGCUUGGGAUGUGUUGUAUUUACAAUGCAUUCUGCCUCGUAAGGAAGACAGGUUAUUGAGACUAGCUUGGGAUGUGUUGUAUUUAAACAAUUGAAUACCAUCUUUCAGUUUGUCUUAUUGUGUAUAGCGUGUGAAAUUGAAGGGCAAACUUCAUCUCUUGUUUAUAUGCAUUGAUGUUUAUCUAAGCAGCUUAAUUUAAUAAACGGAAAGGGCCUAAAUUGCCCCUAAACUCUUUGAUUUGGUACAAAAAUGUCCUCCGUUCACCCAUUGAGCCAAAAAUGUCCCUACCG